UGGGGAAUAUUGGACAAUGGGCGAAAGCCUGAUCCAGCCAUGCCGCGUGUGUGAAGAAGGUCUUCGGAUUGUAAAGCACUUUAAGUUGGGAGGAAGGGCAUUAACCUAAUACGUUAGUGUUUUGACGUUACCGACAGAAUAAGCACCGGCUAACUCUGUGCCAGCAGCCGCGGUAAUACAGAGGGUGCAAGCGUUAAUCGGAAUUACUGGGCGUAAAGCGCGCGUAGGUGGUUUGUUAAGUUGGAUGUGAAAUCCCCGGGCUCAACCUUGGAACUGCAUUCAAAACUGACUGACUAGAGUAUGGUAGAGGGUGGUGGAAUUUCCUGUGUAGCGGUGAAAU
rnacentral:rRNA from 1 species